AUUUUGGUUAUUUUGCCUUCAACUCAUUCUCAUACUGGCUCGUCAUGCAAAGGGAAGAUACGGUUAUUGAAUGGACUUGCUUAGCACACAAAGUAAAAAGUUAAAGACUUAAAUAGAAAAGGUUUCUGAUUUAAUCAUAAAAGGUAGAGUAAGACUACACCAACUGUUAGGUACCGACCCAGCAGAAAUCAAAGUAUUUUAUACUAAUAUUAAGAUUAUGUCAUUAUGGGUAAUUAAUAAGAUUGACAAAAAGCUUGUAGCAACUAUUUGGGAUAAAUUAACAGCAAAUACCCUGAAAGCAAGCAUUUUCAGUUUACAAACUGAAUUGAAUUACAAAACUAAUUGUUUUCCCACAUAUAAAGGGAAUGCCAACUCCCCAAACACCCACAUUCUAUGUGGAUGCAAAUACAAUGUAUGGCAGGUUAUAAGUCAGGUGAUAAGUCUCUCUGCAUGCUUUUGAAGAGAUCCUGUACCUGAGGCAAAAAACAGGCUGGCUCCUGCAGGAGUUUGGAAGCCUGCAACAUCACAAGGAAUGUGAGGUAAGUUAUGGAGCUCCAGGGUCUACAGGCUGGGUGUGGGGAAGCAAUUCCCUGGCACGCCAUACCACCUACCUUCCUAUCCUUCCUUCUCCCUCUCUACUCCACCUUUUCUUUGCUCCUGCCACACAGAAACACCCCCCCCGCCCCCAGCCUUAAAACAAUCUAUGUUCUCUCCUACCCCAGGGCAUUUGUCCAUGCUGUUUGCAGUAUAGAAUUGCUGUCUCUCCAGCUGUCCCUGAGGCUCCCUUCUUAUAUCCUCUGUUACUGUCCAUAUUCUCAUUUUCUGUUUCUUUCAUUUCCAUCAUAGCACUCCACCACAAAAAAAAAACCAAAAACAAACAAACAACAACAACAACAACAACAAAAAACCCACUCAUGAAGACAUUUGAAGGUGCCAAGCUCAGAGUUGACAAAUAGUGGAUGAAUGACUGGCCCACAGUGAGGAGUGAAUUCAUGAAAGUGUGAUUGAAUGGAUGACCUGGAACAGGAUCUUUUGUGGAGUAGACACUGGGCCAAAGCAUUUUGAGUUAGUAAGAGAACAUAAUGGGGACUAGCACAUAGCAUGAAAGCUCGGUGUCUGUGGAGAAUAGAGACAUGGCUCUCAGACACUAGGCUGCACAUGGCUCUGCCAGCUCCAUCCAGCCCCAACCACUUCUGACCAUAGCCCUUGGAGGCAGAGGCCUGCUCAGUGCACAGCUUAGAGUGACAGAUAGGUGGGGAGCUUUUGAGGUCCAGGGUUCUCACGUCCCAGUGUUCUGACUACUAUGGUUUAGGGUUGUUGGGUCCCAGAGCCCUCAGGUGCAUGCCUGGGUCCAGGGUCUUUGGUGCAGAGUCCUGGGUUCUGUGAUCUGGGUCUGUGUGCAGAGUCCAGGGUCCUUGGGUCCAAGGUCCUCAGGCACUCAGAGCACUGACCUCAGCCUGUGCAGGUGCAGAAGCUACAGUAGUUGCUGGAGGAGAAAUAGGAGGUAAGGAGCCACCUGGCCUUGCUGGUGGUAGGCAUGGCAACUGGGGAGCUCAGGGCCACAGAGUAAGGAACUAGAAGGUUAGUGUGCUGCUCUGGGAACAGGACCAGAAGCUGGGAGGUUCUCUUAUGGAGCGAAUAUUGGGGGUAGAAGUGGGGGGGGUAGAUUCUGGGUGUUGGCAGGGCUCUCAUCAAAGAGGGUGGAGCCAGGGCUAGUCAGGGUCUGAUGGGCAAGCAUAGAAAAAGACUGGGCUGGGCCAGAGGAAAGAAUGGGAAAGACAAUGUCAGGGGUGGGUAGAGCCAAGGUUGGGCUGCAGCCAGUUAGGCAAAAUGAUGGAUUCUGUGAGGGAACAAAAAUGUCAAAAUGAACCUUAUCAGGAUAAAUAUGUAUAGUAUAAAAUGAAUCUUUUAAAUUCAAACCCAUAAAGUUGAGUCGUUAGUAGCUGUGGACUUGGGUAAAUCAGGCUGUAAAACUUCAUUCGCCAUAUUUUGGCAUUAGCAUUCCAUAAGCCAAUCAAUAAUCUCCAUUUACCAGAACAGGAUAAUUCCAGGGAGAGGAGAGGGUUCUAGGUGCCCAUCUUCUUUGAUUAACUCAUAACGAGCCUGUAACUUUUCUUUAGAAGGGGUAUACUGAGGUGUCCACACAGGUUCAUUGAAUUUUCUUAUAGUUUUUAUAGGUGGUAUUUUUUUCAAUUGUCCCUGUGAAAAGUCCAAUGAAAAGUUUAUGAUUUGGGGUAUAGGUUCAAUAAUUCCUUGCGACCCCUUUCCUUCUGAUAGCCCAUAUUUUUCAUCAGCCAUUGUACUUGUGAAGAGUAAGCAGCACUAGAAAAGGAAAUGUGGAUCCCUGCAUUAUUUUGUUGCAGAAGGUCUCUCCUGGAAGGAACCUGAGUUACAAAAGGCAACAGAACCCCCACUAUGACUUCUGGACCUAUGCACUGUAAUCUUGUAGCACAUUGUUUACUCUCCUUAGAGUUAGUAGUUACAUCCCUAUCAGGGUUGGAUUCAGGUGGCCAUUCUUCUGUACUUAUAACAGAGAUAUCAGUCCCAGGGUCAAUUAAUCUUGUAAAGGUUUUCCUCUUAUAUUUAAAUAAAAUAAUGGUUUACCAUUCCCCUUCAAUGAAGUGCUUAAAUCUAUAGUUUUACUUUUACCACCAAAUCCUCCCUCAGGAAGUGAAGCACAUUCUUUCCAUGAACCGUUGAUAAUCUUUUUGUAUAGUAUUUAAAGUUUGUCUUUGUAUAAUUCAAAUGCUGAUUUUUGUGUUAGCAGAGAGCUGAGUACUGUCCUGACUUUGGUAUUGUUAUAUUUAUGAAGCAUUACCUGUCUCAGUGUUUUGUAAUCACACUUCUCUCAUCUUCUGAUUGGUUUAAUAAAGACCUUUUGGUCUAUAGCUAGGCAGGAGAGGAAAAGUGAAACUUCCAGGCAGAGGUAGAACCGCUGGGAAGGAUUGAGGGACAGGAGAUUUGCCACCCAGACAUGGCAGAGGUUAGAUGUACUGUGACUGAGGAGAGGUGACAGGCUAUGUGGCAAAUGUGGACUAGUAUAGAUGGGACUGAUUAUUAUACAAGGUAGUCUGGAACAAGCCUAAGCUUACAACCUAAGUUUUCAUAAAUAGUAAAAGGUGACUGUGUCUUUAUUCCAUCUGCUUGUGGUCCAAAGAAAGUCCUGUUAUAAUGAAAGGACUGCGUAAGUCAGUAAUAAUUGUGCAUUUUUUCUCCUACUUAAUUUUGGCAAUCUUUGGACACACACUGUGAUCAUGACUGUAAUUACACUGGAUAAUCUUCAUCAAUUAUUCCUGUAUGAUAUAUAAUUCUUUUUAUGGGUAAACUACUGUACCCCAAUAAAAGUACAACUGUUCCUGGC
rnacentral:lncRNA from 1 species